GACGAACGCUGGCGGCGUGCCUAACACAUGCAAGUCGAGCGGGGAUUUAAGUGGAAGUUCUUCGGAAUGGAGAUUUAAAUUCUAGCGGCGGACGGGUGAGUAACGCGUGAACAAUCUGUCCCGGACAGGGGGAUAACACUUGGAAACAGGUGCUAAUACCGCAUAAGACCACGGCCUCGCAUGGGGCUGAGGUAAAAGGAGCAAUCCGGUUCGGGGUGAGUUCGCGUCCGAUUAGCUAGUUGGUGAGGUAACGGCCCACCAAGGCGACGAUCGGUAGCCGGCCUGAGAGGGUGAACGGCCACAUUGGAACUGAGAGACGGUCCAAACUCCUACGGGAGGCAGCAGUGGGGAAUAUUGGGCAAUGGGCGAAAGCCUGACCCAGCAACGCCGCGUGAGGGAAGAAGGUUUUCGGAUUGUAAACCUCUGUCCUAUGGGACGAAGGAAGUGACGGUACCAUAGGAGGAAGCCCCGGCGAACUACG
rnacentral:rRNA from 1 species